CUCUGAUUAGCCACGCCCUCCAGCCCCUCCUCGUGUCCACACCCUGAAGAAUGUUCUGGAAGCCAUUUUCUGAACGUUUAAGUACUGUGCAUUUGCCAAAUUCGGUGUCCCAGCUGUAAAUGAAGGUGUCAAAGUUGUUGACAGUUCAGGGACUGAGAUAUAUGAUUAUGUUUUUAAGGAAAUUGUGAAGGAUCCAGCCACUGGGGUACUAACCAUCAAAUACAAAACAGGUUUGUUGCCGCUUUAAAUUUGUAAGCUAUAUUAACAUUUUUAUUCCAAUAUUGAGAAGAGGUAAAUCUUUAUUUAUAAUCAAGCUAAGUAGCUUUUGUUUUUAAAGUAAACCAAUAUUCUCCAUUAGAUUAAAUAAAUGAUAAAUGGGUUGUACUUGUAUAGCGCUUUGACACUACUUCCACAUUUACCCAUUCACACACACAUUCACACACUGAUGGAGGGAGCUGCCAUGCAAGGCGCCAACCAGCACCCAUCAGGAGCAAGGGUGAAGUGUCUUGCUCAGGACACAACGGACGUGACGAGGUUGGUUCUAGGUGGGAUUUGAACCAGUGACCCUCGGGUUGCGCACGGCCACACUCACCACUGCGCCACGCCGAUUAGGUGUGGUUUUAUGAGCAAAUUGUGUCCAACAUGUCUUAUUUCUCCUUUUUGCAAUGGUGGUUAGAAUCUGUCUCCAUGGUAACCUCUCAAAAGUCACAAUCAUCCGUUUGUUCAUCCGACUCAGACACAAUCAUCCUUGAAGACACGCCUACCAGAAAGCGUCAGAGGCUGGACUCUGAAACUAUGCAACUGGUGAAAUCCAUUCUUACCAAGAAAUCGGGUGGAGAAAUAUAUAAUAAAUGAAUACAACUGAACUAAGUCCUUGACAGAACAGAGCAGAAGAAAAUUGGUGAAUAUACUGGCAGCUGAGAUGACAGAGAAGAAUGGUACAUCUCCGUCAAGACAGGUGAAGGAAAUGUAUGCACAAGGAAUUGUGAACUUGUUCCCCAACCUCAGAGACCCAUUUUCCAAGAAAGGCUAUGAACAUUUUUAUGGAGAAUUAAAACUAUUCAGAGAUGCAGUGCUAAAGAAAGGCGAUCAUCAUUUGGAGCUUUGGCGGAAGGACCAUCUGAUGAAGACAAGUCGGGAGGACCAAUUGUUUGACGAGUUACCCAAUUCCAUCCAGAGAUUGUCCUGUCUUGGAAGCGAUGUCACUGAUGAAACAUUCGGCUGACGUGGACAUGGUCAUCAAAAAGAUAAAGCUGACAUUUGCCCAUCGGCAUAACAUGGUCCUGGACCAACAGCAGUCAAGCAACAUUCUAUCUUAUUUUCCUCGUUUUAAAGACCUCAAUGGCUUGGUUGAACAGGAUUUAGUUCUAAUGUUUGGAGAGGAUUAAUCGUGCAAGUUUCUGGAGAAGUGGUCAUCCACAUUCAAAAAGAAGAUCUUCCAACAAUACAGAAAGCUUCCCUCCAUUUUUGAGCUUGAGGAACUCCUGAUGGCAGCUGACCCUCCUGAGGAUGGGGCUGAAGUGAACGUUGACUUUGGUUGGGACAGCGACCUCUCAUAGAUUUUGCUGCUCUUACACUUGAUCCCACCGACUGCUCUAGGUCGGAAGAGGCCAGGAAAAGUUUCUGCAUCCUGGGCUGAGAAGCAGCUUAUGGUCUUCAAAAAGACUGGAUAAAGCAUCUUAGAACAUCUUGACACCAUUAUUACCACCACUCAACCCUAUCUCCUGGCUGUUGGAGUGAGGAAGAAUACAAUCCACGAGUUUUUCAUAAUUCUUGACAAGAAUGCCGUACCUUGCAGGUCACACUCCUCUCUUGGUGCAUUUGAUGAACUGUUUAAAGCACACUUUGUGUUUGCGACAUCAUACCACACCAUGCUCCACAACAUGUACACAUUCAUGCCUCACUCCAAACCAUUUGAUGUUCAAAUGGCGUAUGGAACAUCAUGUUCCACAAUGUAUGUUGUCCCAUAUUGCCAUUUCAUGCAGACCUAAGUUCACCCUUUAUGUAUUUUGUCCCUAAAGUUGAUUGUCCUGCCUGACAAAUAAAGGUUACUAAACGUA